UACGUAGGGGGCAAGCGUUGUCCGGAAUUAUUGGGCGUAAAGGGCUCGUAGGCGGUUUGUCGCGUCGGGAGUGAAAACACUGGGCUUAACCGAGUGCUUGCUUUCGAUACGGGCAGGCUCGAGUUCGGCAGGGGAGACUGGAAUUCCUGGUGUAGCGGUGAAAUGCGCAGAUAUCAGGAGGAACACCGGUGGCGAAGGCGGUUCUCUGGGCAUGUCCUGACGCUGAGGAGCGAAAGUGUGGGGAGCGAACAGG
rnacentral:rRNA from 1 species